rnacentral:rRNA from 1 species
GAUGUACGCUGGCGGCGUGCCUAGUACAUGCAAGUCGAGCGAACAGACGAGGAGCUUGCUCCUUUGACGUUAGCGGCGGACGGGUGAGUAACACGUAGGUAACCUACCUAUAAGACUGGGAUAACUUCGGGAAACCGGAGCUAAUACCGGAUAAUAUUUCGAACCGCAUGGUUCGAUAGUGAAAGAUGGCUUUGCUAUCACUUAUAGAUGGUCCUGCGCCGUAUUAGCUAGUUGGUAAGGUAACGGCUUACCAAGGCAACGAUACGUAGCCGACCUGAGAGGGUGAUCGGCCACACUGGAACUGAGACACGGUCCAGACUCCUACGGGAGGCAGCAGUAGGGAAUCUUCCGCAAUGGGCGAAAGCCUGACGGAGCAACGCCGCGUGAGUGAUGAAGGUCUUCGGAUCGUAAAACUCUGUUAUUAGGGAAGAACAAACGUGUAAGUAACUGUGCACGUCUUGACGGUACCUAAUCAGAAAGCCACGGCUAACUACGUG